AUGGGGGCAGUCCAGGGGAGGGGACAGGGCUGGCCUAAGACCUGGCCAGGGGAAGGGAGCGCGAAGGUUCUGGGAGCCGGAGAGCCAGACUUCGAUUUGUGCUUUGUAGAGCUUCCGAGAGGUGCGGGGAGCUGCCCAAGACCACACAGCCAGCACGUGAGCGAUGGGGCGGGCGUCUGCAACAAGAGCUGUUUACACCUGGAGUCGGCACCAGCCCUCCUGCCAGCACGUUCCUGCAGCCGGUGCGCCACCCCGACCACACACACGCCCGCUGCAUGUCCACACCGGCCCGCCACCCGCUGCCUAGGGCCUGGGCCCGUGCUCAGCAAGGAGGCAACCAAGAGACAGAAGAGCACACAGACCCCAAGGCAACUGCUCGACACACACACGAUUUCAAGAGAGGAGAGGAGAACCCCAAUGUCCCAUCAGCAGCAGACGGGCGGGGUCACUGGGCUCCAUCCUCAAGCCUCCCCAGAUCCGACAGUGCGUCCCUGGGCAGGAGGCUGGCUUCUCAGGAGGAUGCCUGGGGAAUCUGAAGCCAGGCCAGGGUAUGGUGACCCUGUGACCCCUGCCCGUGUCUCCCCCGGCACUGAGGGAACUGCAGGUGCUGCUGAGCACAGGCGCCGGCACAGGCUUCCGUCCCUGGCCUCCUCCCUGCCCUCGGUUCCCACACUGGCCGGGAGCAGAUGGUCUCCUUUGGAAUCUAGCUCCGGCUCCAGACUUCCUCCCCGCCACGCCUGAGUUCACUCUGGGCCAGCAGCUGGCCAGGGGCACUGCCAGCCACUCCGCGGAGGGUCUCGCUCCCUGACUCCAUUUGCAUCUCCAGCCAAUUCAAGCCUCCCUCCCCAGUGGGCAGCUGGUAGGCAGGGCCCAGGACUUCCUUCACAUCCUUCAAACCCACAUCCUGGUCCCGCUGGGAGAUCUGGGCUCAUCCUUUACCUGCUAUGCUCUCCACAGCUCAGCACGACACAAGUAUAAACAAUCACAAAGUCACACACACACACACACACACACACAGGAUAAACACACAUAUAAACACACAUCCUCACCCCACACACAGAGACAUGCGCGUAGACACAUGCACACACACACGCCCAUAAGCACACACAGCCACACGCAGCAAUACAAUGCACACCCGGAGAACACACGUACACACAGUGCACACACGGGGCCCAUACAUGACACACACACAGCACAUACACA
rnacentral:lncRNA from 1 species